rnacentral:snRNA from 1 species
UGAUGUGAGAGACCUGGCUGCAGGUUGAUCCUUCAGGCUAGCAGGUGCCUCCUUGCUCCCUCGCUGAUCCUGCAGGCUAGCAGGUGCCUCCUUGCUCCCUCGCUGCUCCUGGAGUAUGCACCCUCCUGAGCUUCCUACAGUCUAAGGGGGUGGCCCGCCCUGAGAAAGGAAGAACUUCCUUUGAAGAGUACAAGGGUAGCUGUGCUCCCGUGCUAGAAUCUUCAAAUAAGCUCGAAAAGUCCACGUGUGAAGGAGUGUAUGGAAGCCGAGCUUCCAGGACUCCAGCAAACAAGGCAUUGCCUGUGGCAAUCCGCCUUCA